rnacentral:rRNA from 1 species
UACGUAGGGUGCGAGCGUUAAUCGGAUUUACUGGGCGUAAAGCGUGCGCAGGCGGCCCGUUAAGACAGGUGUGAAAUCCCUGGGCUCAACCUAGGAAUUGCGCUUGUGACUGGCGGGCUCGAGUACGGUAGAGGGGGGUGGAAUUCCUGGUGUAGCAGUGAAAUGCGUAGAGAUCAGGAGGAACACCGAUGGCGAAGGCAGCCCCCUGGGCCUGUACUGACGCUCAGGCACGAAAGCGUGGGGAGCAAACAGG